CAGCCGCCGCGGGAAUACGUAGGUCCCGAGCGUUGUCCGGAUUUAUUGGGCGUAAAGCGAGCGCAGGCGGUUAGAUAAGUCUGAAGUUAAAGGCUGUGGCUUAACCAUAGUACGCUUUGGAAACUGUUUAACUUGAGUGCAAGAGGGGAGAGUGGAAUUCCAUGUGUAGCGGUGAAAUGCGUAGAUAUAUGGAGGAACACCGGUGGCGAAAGCGGCUCUCUGGCUUGUAACUGACGCUGAGGCUCGAAAGCGUGGGGCGCAAACAGGAUUAGAGACCCCUGUAGUCCCUGUCUCUUAUACA
rnacentral:rRNA from 1 species